AUAUGAGUCAGUGUUGUGCCU
rnacentral:piRNA from 1 species